CCUACGGGAGGCUGCAGUGGGGAAUAUUGGACAAUGGGGGCAACCCUGAUCCAGCCAUGCCGCGUGUGUGAAGAAGGCCCUCGGGUUGUAAAGCACUUUCAGUGAGGAAGAACGCCUGGUGGUUAAUACCCAUCAGGAAAGACAUCACUCACAGAAGAAGCACCGGCUAACUCCGUGCCAGCAGCCGCGGUAAUACGGAGGGUGCGAGCGUUAAUCGGAAUUACUGGGCGUAAAGCGCGCGUAGGUGGCUUGAUAAGCCGGUUGUGAAAGCCCCGGGCUCAACCUGGGAACGGCAUCCGGAACUGUCAAGCUAGAGGGCAGGAGAGGAAGGUAGAAUUCCCGGUGUAGCGGUGAAAUGCGUAGAGAUCGGGAGGAAUACCAGUGGCGAAGGCGGCCUUCUGGACUGACACUGACACUGAGGUGCGAAAGCGUGGGUAGCAAACAGGAUUAGAUACCCUUGUAGUC
rnacentral:rRNA from 1 species